rnacentral:rRNA from 1 species
GACGUAGGAUGCAAGCGUUGUCCGGAUUUAUUGGGCGUAAAGAGUUCGUAGGCGGUUUGUUAAGUCUGAUGUUAAAGACCAAGGCUCAACCUUGGGACUGCAUUGGAUACUGGCAGACUGGAGUAUGGUAGAGGUCAGUGGAAUUCCCAGUGUAGCGGUGAAAUGCGUAGAUAUUGGGAAGAACACCGGUGGCGUAAGCGACUGACUGGGCCAUAACUGACGCUGAGGAACGAAAGCCAGGGGAGCGAAUGGG